AGAGUUUGAUCCUGGCUCAGGACGAACGCUGGCGGCGCGCCUAACACAUGCAAGUCGAACGAGAGAUGAGGAGCUUGCUCUUCAGAUCGAGUGGCGAACGGGUGAGUAACGCGUGAGGAACCUGCCUCAAAGAGGGGGACAACAGUUGGAAACGACUGCUAAUACCGCAUAAGCCCACGGCUCGGCAUCGAGCAGAGGGAAAAGGAGUAAUCCGCUUUGAGAUGGCCUCGCGUCCGAUUAGCUGGUUGGUGAGGUAACGGCCCACCAAGGCGACGAUCGGUAGCCGGACUGAGAGGUUGAACGGCCACAUUGGGACUGAGACACGGCCCAGACUCCUACGGGAGGCAGCAGUGGGGAAUAUUGCACAAUGGGGGAAACCCUGAUGCAGCGACGCCGCGUGGAGGAAGAAGGUCUUCGGAUUGUAAACUCCUGUUGUUGAGGAAGAUAAUGACGGUACUCAACAAGGAAGUGACGGCUAACUACGUGCCAGCAGCCGCGGUAAAACGUAGGUCACAAGCGUUGUCCGGAAUUACUGGGUGUAAAGGGAGCGCAGGCGGGAGAACAAGUUGGAAGUGAAAUCCAUGGGCUCAACCCAUGAACUGCUUUCAAAACUGUUUUUCUUGAGUAGUGCAGAGGUAGGCGGAAUUCCCGGUGUAGCGGUGGAAUGCGUAGAUAUCGGGAGGAACACCAGUGGCGAAGGCGGCCUACUGGGCACCAACUGACGCUGAGGCUCGAAAGUGUGGGUAGCAAACAGGAUUAGAUACCCUGGUAGUCCACACCGUAAACGAUGAUUACUAGGUGUUGGAGGAUUGACCCCUUCAGUGCCGCAGUUAACACAAUAAGUAAUCCACCUGGGGAGUACGACCGCAAGGUUGAAACUCAAAGGAAUUGACGGGGGCCCGCACAAGCAGUGGAGUAUGUGGUUUAAUUCGACGCAACGCGAAGAACCUUACCAAGUCUUGACAUCCUGCGACGCACAUAGAAAUAUGUGUUUCCUUCGGGACGCAGAGACAGGUGGUGCAUGGUUGUCGUCAGCUCGUGUCGUGAGAUGUUGGGUUAAGUCCCGCAACGAGCGCAACCCUUA
rnacentral:rRNA from 1 species